GCAAGUCGAACGAACCUUCGGGUGAGUGGCGCACGGGUGCGUAACGCGUGGGAAUGUACACCUUGGUAAGGAAUAACUGCUGGAAACGGUAGCUAAUACCUUAUAAUAUCUCCGGAUCAAAGAUUUAUCGCCAAGGAAUCAGCCCGCGUCAGAUUAGAUUGUUGGUGAGGUAAUGGCUCACCAAGUCUACGAUCUGUAGGGGGUCUGAGAGGAUGAUC
rnacentral:rRNA from 1 species